rnacentral:rRNA from 1 species
GAUGAACGCUGGCGGCGUGCCUAACACAUGCAAGUCGAACGAAGCUUGACGGAUGAUUUCUUCGGAAUGAAACCAGAUAUGACUUAGUGGCGGACGGGUGAGUAACACGUGAGCAACCUGCCUUUCAGAGGGGGAUAACGGCUGGAAACGGUCGCUAAUACCGCAUGAUGUGUUCGGAUGGCAUCAUCUGAACAUCAAAGAUUUAUCGCUGAAAGAUGGGCUCGCGUCUGAUUAGAUAGUUGGUGGGGUAACGGCCUACCAAGUCUACGAUCAGUAGCCGGACUGAGAGGUUGAACGGCCACAUUGGGACUGAGAUACGGCCCAGACUCCUACGGGAGGCAGCAGUGGGGAAUAUUGCACAAUGGGGGAAACCCUGAUGCAGCAACGCCGCGUGAAGGAUGACGGUUUUCGGAUUGUAAACUUCUUUUCUUAGUGACGAAGACAGUGACGGUAGCUAAGGAAUAAGCAGCGGCUAACUACGUG